GGGGGGGGGUGGGGGGGGGGGGGAGGGGGGGGGGGGGGGCGGGGGGCGGUGGGAGGGUGCGUCUGUCAAUCGUAGUGGCGCACGGGUGAGUAACGCGUAAUCAACCUGCCCUUCAGAGGGGGACAACAGUUGGCAACGACUGCUAAUACCGCAUACGAUCUCAUCUCGGCAUCGCGGAUAGAUGACAGGUGGCCUCUACAUGUACGCUAUCACUGCAGGAGGGGCUUGCGUCUGAUUAGCUAGUUGGAGGGGUAACGGCCCACCAAGGCGAUGAUCAGUAGCCGGUCUGAGAGGAUGAACGUCCACAUUGGGACUGAGACACGGCCCAGACUCCUACGGGAGGCAGCAGUGGGGAAUCUUCCGCAAUGGACGAAAGUCUGACGGAGCAACGCCGCGUGAGUGAUGACGGCCUUCGGGUUGUAAAGCUCUGUUAAUCGGGACGAAAGGCCUUCUUGCGAAUAGUGAGAAGGAUUGACGGUACCGGAAUAGAAAGCCACGGCUAACUACGUG
rnacentral:rRNA from 1 species